rnacentral:SRP_RNA from 6 species
GCCGAUCCCUCAUGUGACGGUAUCACCUGAACCUCCCCAGGGCCGGAAGGCAGCAAGGAUAGGGUAGCUCUGCCGGGUGCGUGAGGGAUCCUUAUU